UGCAGGCAUUAUUUACUAUGACAACUUUAAAAAAAAACCCUCUAGUUAUCCAACUGUUUAAAUGGGGUCAUUAUCUUCAGGAGCCUUCUCUGAGAGAGUUUUGUCCCUUUGGACUCUUCAUAAGGAGGUAUAGUCCAUUGAGGGCAUUGGCGAGCCAGAUUUUGGAAUGGCCUAACCUAUGGCCCUAUGGAGCAAUUAACUUUUCUUCUCAGUUGACAUUGAGACACUUAACGUCAGCAUUGUUACUGUACUGAAUGCUGUAGGCAGCUGUAACACGAUGGUAAUGGGUUUGUGUAUCUAAACAUAUCUAAAUGUAGAAAAGGUACAGUAAAAAAUGAUUGAAAAUGGUGCACCUGUACAGGGUACUUGCCAUGAAUGGAGCUUGCUGCAGUGGAAGUAGCUCCAGGUGAAUCAGCGAGGGAGUGAGUGGAGAGUGAAUGUGAGGACCUAGGACACCUAGGACAUUCCUGUACACUACCGCAGACUUUGUAAACAAUGUUCACUAAGGCUACACUCAACUUCUUCUUUCUUUUUUUUUUUUUGAGACAGAGUCUCGCUCUGUUGCCCAGGCUGGAGUGCAAUGGCGUGACCUCGGCUCACUGCAACCUCCACCACCUCCCAGGUUCAAGCAAUUCUCCCACCUCAGCCUGCCGAGUAGCUGAGACUACAGGCGCCCGCCACCAUGUCCGGAUUUUUUUUUGUAUUUUUAGUAGACACAGGGUUUCACCGUGUUAGCCAGGAUGGUCUCGAUCUCCUGACCUUGUGAUCCGCCCACCUCGGCCUCUCUAAGUGCUGGGAUUACAGGCAUGAGCCACCGUGCCCUGCUGAAGGGAAGCAAUUUUUAAAUGACCAAUGUUAAUUACCCUAGUAAUUAGCUAGGAAUGGGUGGGAGCUGGAAUUAACUAGAAUUAACAUUCCUAGUAAUUAACUAGGAACGGGUGGGAGCUGGAAUUAACUACAAUUAACAUUCCCAGUAAUUAACUAGGAAUGGGUGGGAGCUAGAAUUUGGGACAGAAUUUGACAUUUGGCAAGCCCCAUAGUUGUGAAGAUUUAAAUAAAAAAACCUCUCUUGGUUCUUGUGCUUAGAACCUUAAAUGGAAAUACUUCAAAUUAAAAUAGUAAGAAUUUUGAUAACAAACAGAUGUCUUCCUGGGGGUCAUCUUGGGUAUUUAGAAUGACAUCUACAUGUGGUAAGAAUAGGCUGAGGGGGAAUGGGGCUUUGCAUGAGAAAAAAAGGAUGAGGAGGGGAUAUUGAGCUGAGGAGAAACACGGCAGCAAAUUGAAGUGAGUCUGUAACUUGCCAGCCAUUGAGUGCUUCAUCUUGGAAGCGAGUCUUCCAGCCUCAGUCAAACCUUCAGAUGACUGCAGCCCCAGCUGGUGUCUUGACUACACUUGACUACAUGGGAGAUCCCGAGUCAGAACCCAACUAAGCCACUCCCAAAUUUCUAAAUCACAGAAACUAUCAGAUAACGAAGGAUUAUUGCUGUUUUAAUGUAAAACAAACUAAAUAUGAAACUCGAAUCUAAUACUAAAAAGAGAGGAUAAAUUCAA
rnacentral:lncRNA from 1 species